AUUGAACGCUGGCGGCAGGCUUAACACAUGCAAGUCGAGCGGGGUGAUGGUGCUUGCACUAUCACUUAGCGGCGGACGGGUGAGUAAUGCUUAGGAAUCUGCCUAAUAGUGGGGGACAACAUCUCGAAAGGGAUGCUAAUACCGCAUACGCCCUACGGGAGAAAGCAGGGGAUCACUUGUGACCUUGCGCUAAUAGAAGAGCGUAAGUCGGAUUAGCUAGUUGGUAGGGUAAAGGCAUGCCAAGGCGACGAUCUGUAGCGGGUCUGAGAGGAUGAUCCGCAACACUGGGACUGGGACACGGCCCAGACUCCUCCGGGGGGCAGCAGUGGGGAAUAUUGGACAAUGGGGGGAACCCUGAUCCAGCCAUGCCGGGUGUGUGAAGAAGGCCUUAUGGUUGUAAAGCACAUUAAGCGAGGAGGAGGCUCUUUUGGUUAAUACCCAAGAUGAGUGGACGUUACUCGCAGAAUAAGCACCGGCUAACUCUGUGCCAGCAGCCGCCGUAA
rnacentral:rRNA from 1 species